CCUGUUUAGCUCAGUUGGUAGAGUGCAAGGCUCUUAACCUUGUGGUCCUGGGUUCAAGCCCUAUGAUUAGG
rnacentral:tRNA from 1 species